AAAAUUUUGGUGUAGAAGCUAAAGUAUUUGGGUCUGUUCGACCUUUAAAAUUUUA
rnacentral:tRNA from 1 species